rnacentral:rRNA from 1 species
GACGAACGCUGGCGGCGUGCCUAAUACAUGCAAGUAGAACGCUGAAGGAGGAGCUUGCUUCUCUGGAUGAGUUGCGAACGGGUGAGUAACGCGUAGGUAACCUGCCUGGUAGCGGGGGAUAACUAUUGGAAACGAUAGCUAAUACCGCAUAAGAGUAGAUGUUGCAUGACAUUUGCUUAAAAGGUGCAAUUGCAUCACUACCAGAUGGACCUGCGUUGUAUUAGCUAGUUGGUGGGGUAACGGCUCACCAAGGCGACGAUACAUAGCCGACCUGAGAGGGGGAUCGGCCACACUGGGACUGAGACACGGCCCAGUCUCCUACGGGAGGCAGCAGUAGGGAAUCUUCGGCCAUGGACGGAAGUCUGACCGAGCAACGCCGCGUGAGUGAAGAAGGUUUUCGGAUCGUAAAGCUCUGUUGUAAGAGAAGAACGAGUGUGAGAGUGGAAAGUUCACACUGUGACGGUAUCUUACCAGAAAGGGACGGCUAACUACGUG